rnacentral:rRNA from 1 species
GACAGAGGGUGCAAACGUUGUUCGGAAUUACUGGGCGUAAAGCGUGCGCAGGCGGUUUGUUAAGUCCGUUGUGAAAGCCCCGAGCUCAACUUGGGAAUUGCAGUGGAUACUGGCAGGCUGGAGUACGGUAGAGGAAGGUGGAAUUCCCGGUGUAGCAGUGAAAUGCGUAGAUAUCGGGAGGAACACCAGUGGCGAAGGCGGCCUUCUGGACCAGUACUGACGCUCAUGCACGAAAGCGUGGGGAGCAAACAGG